rnacentral:lncRNA from 1 species
AACACAAUAUUAUAAAUUAAUUAACAUAUAUAUAUAUAUAUAUAUAUAUCUAUUAGCUACUUAUAAUUAACGUACAACAACUUCAUAUAUAUUAUCAAAUCAUCAACCAAAUUGAUCAACACACAUAUAUAUAUACAUCAAACGUACUUAAAAUCUAUCAAUUCAAUCACACUCAAAAUCGAUCAAUAACUCAAAUAAAACUCAAAAUCAACAUAUAUAUACAUGUACGUACCUAUAUAUAGCUCCACUUCUUAAUUAUGGACAGAUUUCAACAACACCCAAACUUUUUUCUCUCUUUUUUUUCUCUCCCGUUUUUUUUUUCUCAGAUGAGCUGCUGUCCAGAUCUGCGAAUAUAAAGAACUUUAGCCGACGAAAAUAUAAUUUAGCCGACGAAGGAAAAUUUCACUUUAGCCGACGAAAAAUUGAUUCGUCGGCCUGGUUUUUUUUUUUCGUCAGCUAAAGUCUUUCUUCUGGUAGUGCAUUACCCCUAUAUGAAUUCUUAUGGAUUUAAGAAUUCAUACAGGGUUAUUACGCUCGUCCCACGCUCACGUCACACCAUAACGGCGGCUAAUCGCUACAUCAUUAUGGCAGAAAGACACGUAUGACUAGCUAGCAUUUACAUACAUACUAUCUUUAUAAAUAUAAAUAUAUAUAUAUAACCAUCGAAAAUCUCAUUUUCGGUAACUCUCCAAAUUAAUGAAAAUUGCUAAUUAUAAAUGAAAGCAAUAUGUUCCAGUAAAAAGAAGUUGAUCAUCGAAACAAUCCAUUGUAUGCAUUUAAUUAAAAACAAAAGUCCACUCACAGUAUACGGCUAAGCCUCCCGUCGAUCCGAGGUCUCCUCAGUACGAGCCUCCUCACGUCAUGUUCAAAAGAUACUAUUAAGUUUCGAUCCCAAUUUUAAAACAUAGAAUUAACAAGAAUAAACGUGAGCCUAAAUCGUUCUCCCUAGCUUACUUCCCAAAUUCUAAACGUGUUUGAGCCAAACCCUUGCAUAAUCCUUGACAUAAUAUUUUGAUGGAUUUAAGCUAAUUUCGAAGUCACCCCAACAACCAGUUUAUCGUCUAACAACCGACAAGUUAACCAAUCUUCGAUUAAUCCCAAAUCUAAUGAAAACUCCUCCAACACUCACAAACUUAACAUUAAUAAAAUCCUCUCUUCAAAUACAACCUAUAGAGCUCGAAAAACCACUUCGACAUGGCGGAGCCGCCGUCUGCACCCCCGGCUGCAGCGGCCGGCUACCACAAAAUUCUGGCCACCUCAUAUGCCUACCAAUUUUAGCAGCACAAUCUACUCAACACGCACUACAACUUCCUUAACUAACACAAACAUCAAUUUCAAGUCUAAAUAGGGUAAUCGAAUCAAAACUGUAAAAAUCCCAAUUUCAUAAACCCUAGAAUUUCAAACAAUCGAUUCUCCUUACCUAAUGCGAAUUGGUUUGAUUCCUUCUAGGGAAUUGAUACACAAGUGAAGACCGCCAAAACCAUAUAAAGAGUUCUCCGAUUGGUGGCCGGUGAAGAGAGAUUCCGGCAAAAACAGCCGAUUGCACAGACUGAACUUCUUGCCGUGAUAUCCUCCAAACGACGGCAAGAGGGACGCUACCACCAACCCAGAAAGAGAGAAGAGGUGACGGCGAAUCGAUUGGGCUUGGCACGGCAGUUUGAGUUGGUCGGACGGUGGAGAUCGUCGGCGGCGAAUCGCUGGCAGAGGGAGAGAGACACUACUGGAAAAUAACACUUAGGCGACGGAAUUAAAAAAUUCCGUCUCCUAAGUGGUACUUAAGCGAUAGAAUUUUCUACUUAAGCGACGAAACAGUUUCCGUCUCCUAAGUUGUUCUUAGGAGACAAAAUAUUUCGAUUUCGUCUCCUAAGAACGACUUAGGCGACGGAAUGAAAUUCCGUCACUUAAGUACUACUUAGGAGAUGAAAUAUUUUUACUUAGACGACGGCAUUUUGAAAAAAAUAAUAUGAAUCACUUAGGAGACGAAAUUACAUUCCGUAGCCUAAGUAGAACUUAGGAGACAGAAAUGUUUACUUAGGAGACGGAAUCUUUUUUUUAAAAAAAAUAAAAAAAUUAUGAAUCACUUAGACGACGGAAAUAGAACAUUCCGUCGCUUAAGUUCUAAAAAUUUGAGCGUCCAUCUUCCCGUGUAAAAUUUCAUUAAAAUUCAAACCAAAAUUUUUCAAAACAUAUCAAUUCUUUUAAAUCACACACUCACCAACCUUAUCAAUAGAAGGAAACCCAUCUUUUCCUAGAGCUCUCUCUCUCUCUCUCUCUCUCUCUCUCUAGACCACCACUCUUAUGCUGGCCUCUCUCUCCAUUCUCACUGCUCCUUCCUCCGCCGCCACUUUCAACUGCACCACCCCCACCAACGCCACCUCCAACUUCGUCCCCACAAAUGCCACCACUCUCAAAGCCGUCAAGACCCUCUUCAACAUCACCCGGACACCUCCGCACCCUCCUCGGAGCCAACAACCUCCCCCUCUCGACCCGACCUGACUCACCCGUCCUCGCCGCCAACAAGCUCCUCGUCCCUUUCUCUUGCACCAUGCCUUAGAUCUGGGUCACCUUUCUCUCUCACCCGACUCACCCGCCCCCGCCGCCGUCAAGACGCCGCUGUUGCCACCUUUUUCUCUCUACCAAGCCUUCUCACCGACCCACCACUGUCCCUCAAAAUUUCAAAGGGGUAAGAAAUCAAGGUAAGUUCUUCCAUUUUUCUGGUUUAAUUAGCUUUUGUGAUAGAUUUAUGUGUUUUUGUUUAAUUUGAUUUUUGAUUUUAAUUUUGGUUAGGAUGUGAUUGAUAUGAUGGUGGUGGCAUGGUGAUUAUUUGGUACAGUGGUGGUGGUGGUGGUAUAUUUGAGGCAGAUUGUUAACAUGAAUUGAAAGAGAGAUAUUGUAUUAAAGUUUACUGACCCCCAGUAGAAGUCUAUUGGGGGUCAGUAAACUUCCACUAGGUUUACUAGGGAGCAAUGAAUUUGUUUAUUAGUGUAAGAAUGGGUAUCUGUUGUGUAUAAUUGACAUGAAAUUGAAAGGAAGAUAUUGUAUUUAAGUUUACUGAGCCGCAGUAGAAGUUUACUGGGGGGCAGUAAACUUCCACUGGGUUUAUUAGAGGGCAAUGAAUUUGUUUAUUAGGGUAAGAAUGAGUAUCUGUUGUGUAUAAUUAGCAUGAAAUUGAAAGGAAGAUAUUGUAUUGAAGUUUACUGACCUCCAGUGGAAGUUUACUGCGUAGAAGUUUACUAGGGGGCAGUAAACUUCCACUAGGUUUACUAGGGGGCAAUGAAUUUGUUUAUUAGGGUAAGAAUGAGUAUAUGUUAUGUAUAAUUGGCAUGAAAUUGAAAGGAAAAUAUUAUAUUGAAUUUUACUGACCCCUAGUAGAAGUUUACUGAUUGGUUUUUUUUUUUUAAAUUUUUUUUCACCUUUAGCGACGGAAUUCAACUAUUCCGUCUCCUAAGUGGAUAAUUUUUUUUUAAUUGUAAAAUAAAAUCCAUCACCUAGGUGCUUAGGAGACGAAAGUAUUCCGUCUCUUAAGAACCACUUAGGCGACAGAAUUUUAGGUUCUGUCGCCUAACUGCCUACCUCACCACACCUAGGCGACGGAUCUUAGUCGACGGACGUUUGGUCUCCUAAGUACUUAGGAGACGAAAUUUGUCACUUAGGAGACGAAAUAAUUCCGUCUCCUAAGUGCUUUUUUCCAGUAGUGAGAGAGAGAGGAGAGAGAGAAAGAGUUGGGCUUUUAAUUCAGCUUCCCCAUCUGGAAACUUCUAAUAAACGAAAGUUUCCCAAUAUAAACCCAACCACAAAUAGAAAUUUACCCUAGUUUUUUUUUACCUACAUCCCAAAACAAACGUAACUCACAUCUACAACUUCGUUUUAUCGUCUUUUACGACUUCCCUUAAGGAAAAAAAAUCUCGUAAUAGUCAUCAUAAAAAAAAAAACAAAAGUUGUCUCUAGGGUCCUUUGAAAUUAUAAGACCAUUAACAAAGGCAGUAAAAACUCAAAGUAACACAAUGUAAGUAAUUAGGGUAAUAUUAAGUGUCAGGAUGUGACAAAACAUCACAAACAAUCAAGUUUUCCUACAUAUAAUAUAGUUUAUUACCCCUAGUAAACUGUUUUAGUGGUAUUAACUAGUUUUAAACCAACAAAGAAUAUCAUUUCACGUUUAUUUACCCCUAUCAAAUAUGUUGAUUCAGUUUCAUAUUGCAAAGAAAUAAAGUUUAC